CCUACGGGAGACAGCAGUGGGGAAUCUUGCACAAUGGGGGAAACCCUGAUGCAGCGCCGCCGCGUGAGUGAAGAAGUAAUUCGUUAUGUAAAGCUCUAUCAGCAGGGACGAAAAUGACGGUCCCUGAGUAAGAAGCCCCUGCUAACUACGUGCCAGCAGCCGCGGUAAUACUUAGGGGGCAAGCGUUAUCCGGAUUUACUGGUUGUAAAGGGCGCGUAGACGGCAGUGCAAGUCUGGAGUGAAAGGCGGGGGCUCAACCCCCGGACUGCUCUGGAAACUGUACGGCUGGAGUGCAGGAGAGGUAAGUGGAAGUCCUAGUGUAGCGGUGAAAUGCGUAGAUAUUAGGAGGAACACCAGUGGCGAAGGCGGCUUACUGGACUGUAACUGACGUUGAGGCUCGAAAGCGUGGGGAGCAAACAGGAUUAGAUACCCUGGUAGUC
rnacentral:rRNA from 1 species